rnacentral:tRNA from 1 species
GCCCAGGUGGUGGAACUGGUAGACACGCAUGCUUGAGGGGCAUGUGGGAAUAUCCCGUGUGGGUUCAAGUCCCGUCCUGGGCA